GAUGAACGCUGGCGGCGUGCCUAAUACAUGCAAGUCGAGCGAACAGACGAGGAGCUUGCUCCUCUGACGUUGGCGGCGGACGGGUGAGUCACACGUGGCUAACCUACCUAUAAGACUUGGAUAACUUCGGCAAACCGGAGCUAAUACCGGAUAAUAUAUUUAACCGCAUGGUUCAAUAGUGAAUGACGGUUUUGCUGUCACUUAUAGAUGGAUCCUCGCCGCAUUAGCUAGUUGGUAGGCUAACGGCUUACCAAGGCGACGAUGCGUAGCCGACCUGAGAGGUGGGAGGGCCACAGUGGAAAUGGGACACGGUCCAGACCCCUGAGGGAGGCAGCAGUAGGGAGACGUCCGCAAUGGGCGAAAGCCUGACGGAGCAACGCGGCGCGAGUGAUGAAGGUCGUCGGAUCGUAAAACUCUGUUAUUAGGGAAGAACAAAUGUGUAAGUAACUAUGGACGUCUUGACGGUACUUAAUCAGAAAGCCACGGCUAACUACGUG
rnacentral:rRNA from 1 species